rnacentral:rRNA from 1 species
GAUGAACGCUGGCGGCGUGCCUAAUACAUGCAAGUCGAGCGAACGGACGAGAAGCUUGCUUCUCUGAUGUUAGCGGCGGACGGGUGAGUAACACGUGGAUAACCUACCUAUAAGACUGGGAUAACUUCGGGAAACCGGAGCUAAUACCGGAUGAUAUUUUGAACCGCAUGGUUCAAAAGUGAAAGACGGUCUUGCUGUCACUUAUAGAUGGAUCCGCGCUGCAUUAGCUAGUUGGUAAGGUAACGGCUUACCAAGGCAACGAUGCAUAGCCGACCUGAGAGGGUGAUCGGGCACACUGGAACUUAGACACGGUCCAGACUCCUACGGGAGGCAGCAGUAGGGAAUCUUCCGCAAUGGGCGAAAGCCUGACGGAGCAACGCCGCGUGAGUGAUGAAGGUCUUCGGAUCGUAAAACUCUGUUAUUAGGGAAGAACAUAUGUGUAAGUAACUGUGCACAUCUUGACGGUACCUAAUCAGAAAGCCACGGCUAACUACGUG